UACGUAGGGUGCAAGCGUUGUCCGGAAUCAUUGGGCGUAAAGCGCACGUAGGCGGUUCGUUAUGUCGGAUGUGAAAGCCCUUGGCUUAACCGAGGAAGUGCAUCCGAAACUGGCGAGCUAGAGUACGAAAGAGGAUCGCGGAAUUCCCGGUGUAGAGGUGAAAUUCGUAGAUAUUCGGAAGAACACCAGUGGCGAAGGCGGCUCACUGGCCCGGUACUGACGCUGAGGCACGAAAGCGUGGGGAGCAAACAGG
rnacentral:rRNA from 1 species